CCCUGACCUCGGAUCAGACGUGAUUACCCGCUGAACUUAAGCAUAUCACUAAGCGGAGGAAAAGAAACUAACAAGGAUUCCCUUAGUAAUGGCGAAUGAACAGGGAAAAGCCCAGCACCGAAGCCUGUGGCCAUUUGGUUACUAGGCAAUGUGGUGUUCAGGUCGUUCCGCAGAGGCGCUGCCCCAUCCUAAGUCCACCAUUGAAUAUGGCUUUGGACGUGGCCCAUUGAGGGUGUAAGGCCCGUGUGGGUGGGGUUCUUUUGGCCAGUGUCUCUCUGGGUAGACCUUGGAGUCGGGUUGUUUGUGAAUGCAGCCCAAAGUGGGUGGUAAACUCCAUCCAAGGCUAAAUACUUGCACGAGUCCGAUAGCGAACAAGUACCGUGAGGGAAAGUUGAAAAGUACUUUGAAGAGAGAGUAAACAGUGCGUGAAACCGCUCAGAGGUAAACGGGUGGAGUUGAACUGCAAUCUCUGUGAAUUCAGCUGGUGAGUCUGGUUUGGGCUUGGACAAGUCUAUCGUUCUCCGUGGUCUGACUAUUAUUAGGUCCUCGUCUUCGGGCGGGGAUGCGCGAUGCUCCUACCAUGUGCUGCGCGCUGCGGAGUUUCGGAUUAGCUUGCCAGUGCACUUUUGCAGAGUGUUCACCACGACCGGCAUCGCUGUCUGGCUGUUUUGGUUAAACCUUCCUUGUAGGGUCCUUGUGGCUUUGCAUGGUCGGGAUGGCAGGUAGCUCGUUGGUGGCUGUGGCUUGCUGCAGUUGUCUUCGGGUGUAAUUAGCUGACCAUUACGGUUCUGUGCAGUAUGUCGGAGACGGCGGCUUGUGUGUGCGUGCGUGCCGGUCUCUUGGGCAUGCUCGAGUCUGAUUGUCAUGUUGCUCGCACAAAGUGGGCCAUGGCAGUGGCUUGGGUGUGUUCUUUGGGCGGUUGCGUGCGUGUCACUUCAUAGUGCCAAUAGUCUGUGGUGUAGUGGUAGAUUAUCCACCUGACCCGUCUUGAAACACGGACCAAGGAGAGUAACAUGUGCGCGAGUCAUUGGGCGUAACGAAACCCACAGGCGCAGUGAAAGUAAAGGCUUGGCUUGUCCUUGCUGAGGUGAGAUCCUGCUGUUUCCCAUGCGCGGUUCUACCAAGCAUCGAGCAGUAGGCGCAUCACCGGCCCGUCUCAUGUCGUGGACACAUUCUCUUCGGAGUUGUGCAUCGUCGGGGCGGAGCAUGAGCGUACAUGUUGAGACCCGAAAGAUGGUGAACUAUGCUUGUGCAGGUUGAAGCCAGAGGAAACUCUGGUGGAGGACCGCAGCGAUUCUGACGUGCAAAUCGAUCGUCAAACAUGAGUAUAGGGGCGAAAGACUAAUCGAACCAUCUAGUAGCUGGUUCCCUCCGAAGUUUCCCUCAGGAUAGCUGGUGCUCUGAGAAAUAAACAGUUUUAUCCGGUAAAGCGAAUGAUUAGAGGCCUUGGGGGCGAAACGUCCUCAACCUAUUCUCAAACUUUAAAUGGGUGAGAAGCUCUACUCGCCUAAACGGAGUUGGGGCAUUGAAUGUGAGUGCCAAGUGGGCCAUUUUUGGUAAGCAGAACUGGCGCUGUGGGAUGAACCAAACGUUCGGUUAAGGUGCCUAACUCGUCGCUCAUCAGAUACCACAAAAGGUGUUGGUUGGUCCAGACAGCAGGACGGUGGCCAUGGAAGUCGGAAUCCGCUAAGGAGUGUGUAACAACUCACCUGCCGAAUCAACCAGCCCUGAAAAUGGAUGGCGCUGGAGCGUCGGACCUAUACCGGACCGUUACGGCAAGCCGAGUAACUGUGUGUUGUGAGGGCAAGUCACACGACUCGGGCGCGGAAUGGCUGUGACGAGUAGGAGGGUCACCGUGGUGAGCAGGAAGCUUUGGGCGUGAGCCUGAGUGGAGCCGCCACGGGUGCAGAUCUUGGUGGUAGUAGCAAGUAUUCAAGUGAGAACCUUGAAGGCCGAGGUGGAGAAGGGUUCCAUGGGAACAGCAGUUGGCCAUGGGUCAGGCGGUCCUAAGUGAUCCGGUAACUCGGUGCAGAGACGGGGUGCUUGACAUUGUCAAGUUUGCUGCGAAUAGUACUGUUGCAAAGCAGCCCCCUGUAGCGAAAGGGAAUCGGGUUAAUAUUCCCGACCCUGCCCACGGAGAUUGGUGUAUUCUGGCUUCGGCUGGUUUGCAUCUAGCGCGGUAACGCAACCGACCUCGGAGACGUCGGCGAGAGUUCUGGGAAGAGUUUUCUUUUCUUUAUUAGGAGUGCAUCCAUCCCCUGGAAUCGGGUUGUCCGGAGAUAGGGGACUAGCCUCCGUAAAGCACCAUCCCUCGUGUGGUGUCCGGAACGCUCUUGUCGGCCCUUGAAAAUCCGAGCAAGGCAAUAUAAUUUUCGUGGCAGGCCGUACCCAUAUCCGCAUCAGGUCUCCAAGGUGAACAGCCUCUGGCAAUUGAACAAUGUAGGUAAGGGAAGUCGGCAAAUUGGAUCCGUAACUUCGGGAAAAGGAUUGGCUCUGAGGG
rnacentral:rRNA from 1 species